rnacentral:rRNA from 1 species
AUACGUAGGUGGCAAGCGUUGUCCGGAAUUAUUGGGCGUAAAGCGCGCGCAGGUGGUUCCUUAAGUCUGAUGUGAAAGCCCCCGGCUCAACCGGGGAGGGUCAUUGGAAACUGGGGAACUUGAGUGCAGAAGAGGAUAGUGGAAUUCCAAGUGUAGCGGUGAAAUGCGUAGAGAUUUGGAGGAAUACCAGUGGCGAAGGCGACUGUCUGGUCUGUAACUGACACUGAGGCGCGAAAGCGUGGGGAGCAAACAGGAUUAGAUACCCUGGUAGUCCACGCCGUAAACGAUGAGUGCUAAGUGUUGGGGGGUUUCCGCCCCUCAGUGCUGCAGCUAACGCAUUAAGCACUCCGCCUGGGGAGUACGGUCGCAAGACUGAAACUCAAAGGAAUUGACGGGG